UACGUAGGGUGCGAGCGUUAAUCGGAAUUACUGGGCGUAAAGCGUGCGCAGGCGGUGGUGCAAGACAGAUGUGAAAUCCCCGGGCUCAACCUGGGAACUGCAUUUGUGACUGCACGGCUGGAGUGCGGCAGAGGGGGAUGGAAUUCCGCGUGUAGCAGUGAAAUGCGUAGAUAUGCGGAGGAACACCGAUGGCGAAGGCAAUCCCCUGGGCCUGCACUGACGCUCAUGCACGAAAGCGUGGGGAGCAAACAGG
rnacentral:rRNA from 1 species